rnacentral:rRNA from 1 species
UGGGGAAUUUUGCGCAAUGGGCUAACGCCUGACGCAGCAACGCCGCGUGGAGGAUGAAGGUCCUUGGAUUGUAAACUCCUGUCAGCAGGGAAAAAGCAAUUUAGCCUCAUACGCUAGAGAGUUGAUUGUACCUGCAGAGGAAGCCCCGGCUAACUCUGUGCCAGCAGCCGCGGUAAUACAGAGGGGGCAAGCGUUAUUCGGAAUUAUUGGGCGUAAAGGGCGCGUAGGCGGCAUGACAAGUGGAUGGUGAAAUCCCUCGGCUUAACCGAGGAACUGCCAUCCAGACUGUUUUGCUUGAGGCCGGGAGAGGUGAGUGGAAUUCCCAGUGUAGCGGUGAAAUGCGUAGAUAUUGGGAGGAACACCAGUGGCGAAGGCGGCUCACUGGACCGGUUCUGACGCUGAGGCGCGAAAGCGUGGGGAGCAAACGGGAUUAGAUACCCCCGUAGUCC